rnacentral:piRNA from 1 species
UUGGUGCUGGCCCUCACCCAGGGUCCCCUGGA